GAUGAACGCUAGCGGCAGGCCUAACACAUGCAAGUCGAGGGGCAGCACAGGUAGCAAUACUGGGUGGCGACCGGCGCACGGGUGCGUAACGCGUAUGCAACCUACCUUUAACUGGGGCAUAGCCCGGAGAAAUCCGGAUUAAUAUCCCAUAAUAUUCAUUUUGGACAUCCUUUAUGAAUUAAAUCUUUGGCGGUUAAAGAUGGGCAUGCGUGGCAUUAGCUAGUUGGUGAGGUAACGGCUCACCAAGGCUACGAUCAGUAGCUGGUCUGAGAGGAUGAUCAGCCACACUGGAACUGAGACACGGUCCAGACUCCUACGGGUGGCAG
rnacentral:rRNA from 1 species